rnacentral:rRNA from 1 species
CCAGCCUGCCCAGUGACAAGGUUCAACGGCCGCGUACCCUAACCGUGCGAAGGUAGCAUAAUCACUUGUUCUUUAAAUGAGGACUUGUAUCAACGGCAUCACGAGGGUUUAACUGUCUCCUUUCUCCAAUCAAUGAAACUGAUCUUCCCGUGAAGAAGCGGGGAUUUCCUUAUAAGACGAGAAGACCCCAUGGAGCUUUAAACCCAGCUACACCUCUAUUUUUAUUCCACUUUAACCUUUAGAACCCUGUAUGCCUGGUUUUAGGUUGGGGUGACCGCGGAGCAUAAAUUAGCCUCCACGAUGAACGGGAAUUAUUCCCUUACCCAAGAACUACGCCUCUAAGAAUUAGUAUUCUAACAUAAAAUGAUCCGGCUAUCCGAUCAACGAACCAAGUUACCCUGGGGAUAACAGCGCAAUCCACUUCAAGAGCUCCUAUCGACAAGUGGGUUUACGACCUCGAUGUUGGAUCAGGGUGUCCUAGUGGUGCAGCAGCUACUAAAGGUUCGUUUGUUCAACGAUUAAAA